AUCUGGGCGGCGGAAUUCAGAAUGGCGAGGGCGUCUUCGCGGCGUUCUCGUCGUUUGAUAUUUCCGUCGCCAGUCACACUCAGACGUCGCGACCUGUUCGCGGUCGGUCCCUGCUUCGGAGGAGCCGCGUUCGAGUUCGUUGUGGGCGCGUUUCGGCGCGUUUCACGGCGAAGGCGCGGAUCUCUGGCUGGCCGUCGGACAGUACGCAUAACGGUGUCCGGUGCCGUAGUACUCGUACGCGCGCGCACCGGUACCGGUCAGCGACGAAUUCUUCGGGCCUCUUUCCGACCCGUCUUGAAACACGGACCAAGGAGUCUAACAUGCGCGCGAGUCGCGGGGUGUCGAGCGUACUUCGGUGCGUUCGUUAUGUUGCGAAACCCGUACAUGUCGAAGGCGUAAUGAAAGUGAAUGGGGAAGAUGGUGUUCCGAGUACACGUUCCGCGGUCGUCGGUAUCGCGGCCGGACACCCGCAUUCCCGGGGCGUCUCAACGGCCCGUCGCGGAUGUCGGCCGUCGUCUCUCGGGGCGGCGGUCAGUCUGCGACGAACCGA
rnacentral:rRNA from 1 species